rnacentral:rRNA from 1 species
GACGAACGCUGGCGGCGUGCCUAAUACAUGCAAGUCGAGCGGAACUGGGGGGAGCUUGCUCCCUCCAGUUUAGCGGCGGACGGGUGAGUAACACGUGGGCAACCUGCCCUGCAGAUCGGGAUAACUCCGGGAAACCGGUGCUAAUACCGAAUAGUUUGGCGCCUCUCCUGAGGCGCUACGGAAAGACGGUUUCGGCUGUCACUGCAGGAUGGGCCCGCGGCGCAUUAGCUAGUUGGUGGGGUAACGGCCCACCAAGGCGACGAUGCGUAGCCGGCCUGAGAGGGUGACCGGCCACACUGGGACUGAGACACGGCCCAGACUCCUACGGGAGGCAGCAGUAGGGAAUCUUCCGCAAUGGACGCAAGUCUGACGGAGCAACGCCGCGUGAGUGACGAAGGUUUUCGGAUCGUAAAACUCUGUUGUGAGGGAAGAACACGUACCAACUAACUAUUGGUACCUUGACGGUACCUCACCAGAAAGCCACGGCUAACUACGUGCCAGCCGCCGCCGUAA